CAACCCUGCUUUGGCAGGGGAGUGGGACUAGAUGAUCUCUAGAAGGUCGCUUCCAACUCUGACAAUUCUGUGAUUCUAUUCUCUAGGUUCCUGGCCUUGCUGCUUUGCCUCCCUUGGCUUGUGUGGUCCUGAGUAGCUGCAGAAGCUGGGCCAAAAGGGCUGGCCAAGCCACCCAGCCAGAUCUUCAUAAUAACUGCAUGAGACAGUGUUGUCCUGGACCAGAGGGGAACAGAGUCAAGGAAAGGCUUGAUGAUGGGCAAAACCAGAGUGAUUUCAGACAGAAAAGUGAGGGAUGGCAGCCUAACGUGGACCAUGGAUGGCUGGAGGCUGACGUGCACUGGAGGAACUGAGCCAUUCUGCUGGAAAUGGGGGAUCUGUGACCAACACAGCCAUGCACCUCCAGAGGGAAAUGAGCACCGCCCUUGGUAACUCUGCAGUGGAAGGGACACGGUGAGGCCACCCUUCUCUUCAAACUGCAAUGGUUGAGAACAUCAAGCAUUUGUGAGUACGCUUCUUUUCUUACUCGUUUCUUUUGCCCAAGGCUCACUAAGGCUAGAAGUUAACGCAACACAAAUUUGGCCCCACGUAUAAGUGUAAAGCACCACGUGGCUAAUGGCUGUAUGGUGGCAAGGUCAGAAACCAGCUCUUUCUGAGCACUAAUAGAAGGUGCUAUUAGCAAAAGCCACACUAAGUUCAUCACGCUGUAGGGGUUUGAACAGGAGAUCUCAUCUAUGUCCCACCUGUCCCCUCUGAAGUCAAUGGCAAGGGAAGGGAGGACCCGAGAGCAGAGCAUUGACUGACUGUCAACCAUGAAGAUGGCCAGCUCGUUGGAGAUGGCCACAGGGCUCUCCUGACAGAGCGGGGAAGUUGUCACCGGGAAGGAUGUGUGAGCCACCAGGGUCCCGUCGUUAUCUGCUUAUCUCAGGGGGGCUGCUGUGGGCUGUGAAAUCAGCCACAGCACCAAAGUCACCAUCUGUCCCCAGUUAUGCAGCUUGGGGACCAUCUGAGCCCCUCCCACCCCAGAAAAGGACACCAGGAGGGGUGAUUCCUACUCUCUGAAGGGCUCUAAAAUGUACGUCUCAAGAGGAUCGAUAUCAGGGCUAUUUCUGGCUCUUUCAACGCCGCAGUAAAACAAACCUUGACCCUUGCUGUCAUCACCUCUCCUUCUGAGAAGGUGUCAAGGAUCUUCAUGUUUUCUGAGGGCUGUUGUAGUGGCC
rnacentral:lncRNA from 1 species